rnacentral:lncRNA from 10 species
GUGUAAAAAUAUUCCAAAGAGGGUUAAAAUCUAGGUGAAUUCCCUUAUUAAGCAAAAUUAUCUAGGUGAACUAGCCUUAGGUGCCUUAUCCUUGAGCCUAAGUAGGGAAAGGGAAAGAGAGGGAGAAACAAGGGCAGCGGGAGAGGGGUGUGAGCUGUGUGGUGUGUGAGGAGGAGAGGGGUGUGAGCUGUGUGGUGUGUGAGGAGAGGGGUGUGAACUGUGUGGUGUGUGAGGAGAGGGGUGUGAGCUGUGUGGUGUGUGAGGAGAGGGGUGUGAGCUGUGUGGUGUGUGAGGAGGAGAGGGGUGUGAGCUGUCUGGUGUGUGAGGAGGAGAGGGGUGUGGGCUGUGUGGUGUGUGAGGAGGAGGGGUGUGAGCUGUCUGGUGUGUGAGGAGAGGGGUGUGGGCUGUGUGGUGUGUGAGGAGAGGGGUGUGAGCUGUGUGGUGUGUGAGCAGGAGAGGGGUGGGGUCUGUGUGGUGUGAGGAGGAGAGGGGUGUGAGCUGUGUGGUGUGUGAGGAGAGGGGUGUGAGCUGUGUGGUGUGAGGAGAGGGGUGUGGGCUGUGUGGUGUGUGAGGAGGACAGGGGUGUGAGCUGUGUGGUGUGUGAGCAGGAGAGGUGCAUGAGCUGUAUGGUGUGUGUGGCCCAGGCUGCUUGAGGACAAUCAGGUUCCACGUAAUAAUUCUGCCACUAAGUGGUUCCUUAAUAUUGGGUAAGUUGCUGAUAUAUUUAAAUCCUGCCUCACUCUCUCCAAAAAAGAGAUUUGAGGCAGCUUAUAAUAAAAUACAAGUAUAUUUCCUU